CUACGGGGCGCUCCAGUCGAGAAUCAUCCGCAAUGGGCGAAAGCCUGACGGUGCAAUGCCGCGUGGGGGAUGAAGGCCCUCGGGUCGUAAACCCCUGUCAGGAGGGACGAAGAAGUGACGGUACCUCCAGAGGAAGCCACGGCUAACUACGUGCCAGCAGCCGCGGUAAUACGUAGGGGGCGAGCGUAUUCGGAUUUACUGGGCGUAAAGGGUCCGCAGGGGGUUUGCCAAGUCUGGUGUGAAAUCUCACAGCUCAACUGUGGAACUGCGCUGGAUACUGGUGAACUAGAGUGCGCGAGGGGUGAGUGGAAUGCCUGGUGUAGCGGUGGAAUGCGUAGAUAUCAGGAAGAACACCAACGGCGAAGGCAGCUCACUGGCGCGCAACUGACCCUCAUGGACGAAAGCGUGGGUAGCAAACAGGAUUAGAUACCCGAGUAGUC
rnacentral:rRNA from 1 species